rnacentral:lncRNA from 1 species
CCGCUGCACCUCCCCUAAAUUUUUGUCCACCUCUCCCACUAUUUCCACCAAAAUCCGGCCUUGGUACUGGAAUCAACUCCUGGUGAUUGUUAGUUUAUGGUUUGGUACCCAUAAGUCCAUAUUGGCAGUGCUUGUGGUAUGUCGCUGACUAACGAGGUACACCUGGACGAUGGCCACCCAACUUCCGGAUCACGCAUGGUUCAUUAAUGCCUGGUUUCCAUAUGGUCGUAAAGAUUGAGUCACGAUCUUUCUCAUCAGCCGAAAUACAACAUUUUAGAACUGAA